AAAUAUGAAAGCUAAAACUUAAGGCAACACACCCUGAGGGGCUGCGGAAUCCAGUAAUUUUGGGUGGGAUUGAGUAGAUUUCAGUGGGACUGAGCGGUUUUGAGGUGACAGAUCGAUCCCUCUUGUCUCUUUGAGUGCCAAGAAAUGGAGACAACUCCACCAAAUAACCCCACAACCCC